GUAAUUACCUGGUGGGGAAAUACCAUGAUCAAGAAGGUGGUUUCCCCAGGGUGGGGCUUUUCCAUUGGACACUUCAGUUGGGUUGACCUCUGUGAUUUACCCAAUGGCAGAAGAGACUCAAAUACAUAACUUAUGGUUGACUUGACUGGCAGUUAGUG